AGUGGUAUUGCUGGGUCAUAUGGUAGCUCUAUUUUUAACUUUUUGAGGAACUGCCAAAUUAUUUUCCAGAGUGGCUGUACCAUUUUGCAUUCCUGCCAUCAGU
rnacentral:pre_miRNA from 1 species